AGUCAUCCCCCUCUGCUCUGCCCUGGUGAAGCCCCACCGGGAGCCCUGUGUUCAGCCCUGGGGCCCCCAGCACGAGGAGGAUGUGGAUGUGUUAGAGAUUUCCAGGUUUGGACUGUCACUUCUCCAACCAGAGAGUUGCAUCUAGUUCUGCCAUAUCCAGCUGGACUUGGAGUAACAAGGUGUCCUGGCCAGGCAGCAGGGUGCAAGCAGCUCUAUGCAGAGUUCGCAAUCAAGGGAGGGACAUCGGAUAUGGAGUUACAUCCUCGGGAUUCAGUAACACCAGGCGAUACUGAAACACUAUUUCUUCAGUAACAAGAUAUUUUCCUCACAUCUCCAACUCACUCAUCAGUAACAGAGGAUUAAGGCUCGUGAUAAAAGAAUUGAAACAGCACUUGAGAGAUACUGGAAUAAAGCCAUAAUUGGACUAACAUUAUCAGGUGCCUUUAAAUCUGUGCUUUGCUUGUUCGUCAUGCAAAGCUUCAAAGAUAAAUGCCUUUUUGGUGUGGAGGGAGAAUCAUUUUAUGGUGCGAGUGGUUUGUUAAUAAUACCGUCCCCCACUGGCCUUCUUUGGAGCUAAUGGUUUGCUCCUCCAGUUGGAGUUGCAGACAUCCUUUUGUUGCAACUGUGACAAAUAUUUGACAAAAGAAACCCCACUGGCUUUAAAACUGAGUCAUCCUCAUUUUCUGCUAUCUGGGCCUCCUCUAAAGCUGUCACCUUUCUGUAACUUAGACCUGUACAAAUCUCCUGUGCAAAUG